AUUAUUAAAAAUGGUAAGUGUGGGUAUUACUGCGGUUUUUUCUGUAGGUUUUACUUCAGAAGCAUUUUCUUUGAAUUUUUCAAAAAUAACAAUAAUUUUUUUUUUUUUUAAACCAAAGUUUGACUCAUUAUUGACUCAAAAAAAAAUCAAGAGUGCGAUAAACUAAUAUUUUGUUUAAAUAAUAAGCAUUUCAAAAAAAAGUCAUGUGCAUGUAUUAAUGCGGGUAUAAAAGGAACUUGUCUGUAUUACUGCGUACCAAUUACUGCGAAUGACCCAAUUACUGCGUGUCUAUUACUGCGGCUGAAAUUCAAUGACAAAAAACUUCGGGAUCAUAUAAGAAAUGAAUAAAAUACGUUUGAAAGAUA